rnacentral:rRNA from 1 species
GUGAAACCCCGAAUGGCCCAUUAAAUCACACCUAAAGGCCUGGAUAGUUUCUUUUUACUGGGAAAACUGCGGUAAUUUUGGAGCUAAUACAUGCGUUAACCGCCCGAACCGAGCGAUCGGUAGGGCUGCUUUUAUUAGUUUCUAAACCAACGCGCCUUCGGGCAACUCCUUUGGUGACUCUGAAUAACUUUUAGUGGAUCGCAUGGCCUUGCGCCGGCGACGUAUCCUUCCAAGGUGUGCCCUAUCCACUUUCGACUGUGGUAUAGACGCCCACAGUGGUUUUGACGGGUAACGGGGAAUUAGGGUUCGAUUCCGGAGAGGGAGCCUGAGAAACGGCUACCACUUCUAAGGAAGGCAGCAGGCACGCAAAUUACCCAAUGGUCGAAGACCGAGGUAGUGACGAAAAAUAACGAUACCGGACUCAUCCGAGGCCCGGUAAUCGGAAUGAGAACACUUUAAAUCCUUUAACGAGGAUCAAUUGGAGGGCAAGUCUGGUGCCAGCAGCCGCGGUAAUUCCAGCUCCAAUAGCGUAUAUUAAAGUUGUUGCGGUUAAAAAGCUCGUAGUUGGAUCUCGGCGAGCAGGGGGUGGUCAUCAAGCAUUGAUGCACUGCUCUUUUUGCUUGCGAUUCGGGUGUCUGUUGCCGGUGCUCUUCACUGAUUGUCGGUUGCGGACACCAGGUUUACUUUGAAAAAAUUAGAGUGCUCAAAGCAGGCUAGUUGUCUGAAUAUUCGUGCAUGGAAUAAUAGAAUAGGAGGUUGUUGCUAUUUUGUUGGUUUCGGUAAUGACCUAAUGAUUAAUAGGGACAGUCGGGGGCAUUAGUAUUCAAACCACAGAGGUGAAAUUCUUGGACCGUUUGAAGACUAACUACUGCGAAAGCAUUUGCCAAGAAUGUUUUCAUUAAUCCAGAACGAAAGUUAGAGGUUCCAAGGCGAUCAGAUACCGCCCUAGUUCUAACCAUAAACGAUGCCAGCUAGCGAUCCUUCGACGUUAUUUCAAUUAGGCUCGAGGGGAAGCUUCCGGGAAACCAAAGCUUGUGGGUUCCGGGGGAAGUAUGGUUGCAAAGCUGAAACUUAAAGGAAG